GAUGAACGCUGGCGGCGUGCCUAAUACAUGCAAGUCGAGCGAACAGACGAGGAGCUUGCUCCUCUGACGUUAGCGGCGGACGGGUGAGUAACACGUGGAUAACCUACCUAUAAGACUGGGAUAACUUCGGGAAACCGGAGCUAAUACCGGAUAAUAUCUUGAACCGCAUGGUUCAAUAGUGAAAGACGGUUUUGCUGUCACUUAUAGAUGGAUCCGCGCCGCAUUAGCUAGUUGGUAAGGUAACGGCUUACCAAGGCAACGAUGCGUAGCCGACAUGAGAGGGGGGUUGGCCGCACUGGAAGGGAGACACGGUACAGACGCCGUGGGGAGGGACCAGGAGGGAAUCGGGAGGAAGGGGCGAAAGCCUGAGGGAGCAGGGCGGAGGGAGGGAGGAAGGGCGUCGGAUCGUAAAAGUCUGUUAUUAGGGAAUAACAAGUGUGUAAGUAACAAGGAGCGUCUGGACGGGAACUAAGUAGAGAAGCACGGCUAACUUCGGG
rnacentral:rRNA from 1 species